rnacentral:rRNA from 1 species
GAUGAACGCUAGCUACAGGCUUAACACAUGCAAGUCGAGGGGCAUCAGGGAGAUAGCUUGCUAUCUCCGCUGGCGACCGGCGCACGGGUGAGUAACGCGUAUCCAACCUUCCCCUUACUAGAGGAUAGCCCGGCGAAAGUCGGAUUAAUACUCUAUGUUCUCCUUUGCAGGCAUCUAAUGAGGAGCAAAGAUUCAUCGGUAAGGGAUGGGGAUGCGUCUGAUUAGCUUGCCGGCGGGGUAACGGCCCACCGGGGCAACGAUCAGUAGGGGUUCUGAGAGGAAGGUCCCCCACAUUGGUACUGAGACACGGACCAAACUCC